rnacentral:rRNA from 1 species
UUUGCAGAGGAUGCUUUUGGCGCGGUGCCUUCCGAGUUCCCUGGAACGGGACGCCAUAGAGGGUGAGAGCCCCGUCUGGUCGGACACCAAGCCAGUGUAAAGCUCCUUCGACGAGUCGAGUAGUUUGGGAAUGCUGCUCUAAAUGGGAGGUAUAUGUCUUCUAAAGCUAAAUACCGGCCAGAGACCGAUAGCGCACAAGUAGAGUGAUCGAAAGAUGAAAAGCACUUUGAAAAGAGGGUUAAACAGUACGUGAAAUUGUUGAAAGGGAAGCGUUUAUGACCAGACUUGGGCCCGGUGAAUCAUCCAGCGUUCUCGCUGGUGCACUUUGCCGGGCUCAGGCCAGCAUCAGUUCGUCGCGGGGGAUAAAAGCUUCGGGAACGUGGCUCCCUCGGGAGUGUUAUAGCCCGUUGCAUAAUACCCUGCGGUGGACUGAGGUUCGCGCUCCGCAAGGAUGCUGGCGUAAUGGUCAUCAGCGACCCGUCUUGAAACACGGACCAAGGAGUCGUCUUCGUAUGCGAGUGUUCGGGUGUAAAACCCCUACGCGUAAUGAAAGUGAACGCAGGUGAGAGCUUCGGCGCAUCAUCGACCGAUCCUGAUGUUCUCGGAUGGAUUUGAGUAAGAGCAUACGGGG